rnacentral:lncRNA from 1 species
GGUUUCUCUGUGUAACAGCCCAGACAGUCCUGGAACUCGCCACCAUCGGCUUGCUUCAGCAGGAUUUUUAAAAGAACUUGGAAGAGCUCUCCUUGAAACAUGGCAAAGAAAGGGUUUGUGAGAUGGCUCAGCAAGGAAAGGUGGUUGCCUAGCAAGUCUGACUGUCUGAGUUCGAUCCCAGGAACUCAGGGUUUCUCUGUGUAACAGCUCUAGCUGUCCUGGAACUCACUCUGGAGACCAGUCUGGCCUCAAACUCACAGAGAUCUGCCUGCUCUGCCUUCGGAGUGCAGGGAUUAAAGGUGUGCGACACCACCAACUGGCCCAUCAUUUUAACCCAAGCUAAACAGAUCAAUAGUUUCCAAGGAAUCCAUGGACCAGAGCAUCUGCCAGGAAGGCCUGAUCCCCAAGUGCAGGCUGAGGAAAACCCAG